UAGGACCUCAUCCAAGAGGAUCUGCGUAGACUAAUAAGAUUGGAAGGUGUGUUGGGUAUGCACAACAGAGGACCUACAAAUAUGUCAGCAGCUCCUAUACUUAUCCUAGUAGGAUCUAAUCUGACCUACUAACCAUAUACUCAGUAUAGGAAUUCGAUAAAAUUUGAUCUUCCCUUUCGGAGUAACGGUUUUGAUUUUUAGAUAACAGUGACAGACCUAGGUGCCGCAAUGGAUACUAUAUAUAUGGUUAUGCAAUGAGAGCCAGGAUGGAACACUCGAAUUAAAAACAGGUCUAUCUGGCCAUUCAACACCGAGAGAUUGUCCCAUUUUCUUGUUUUUCUGAAUUCUGAGUAAGGAUCCUUUCCUCGUUUGGUAUUCUGUUAUGAAUGUUAGGUUAGUUUUCUUUGCCUCGUAUGCAAUUCAUAAUAAAUUUUUAGGUGAAUAUAGCUGGCCUGUUGGUUGGCGGUGUUCAGUAUGACUGGUGCUCUUGAUUUGAGAAGACUCUACAACAUUGGCAACAUGACAAUUGGAAUGGUUCCUCCUCUGCUAUGUUCCACAUGUCAUGGACAUUCAUAGCAAUAUACUCGAGCACAUCAUCCUAGAGAACAAUGAAAACAAGCAUUCCCUACAUAGGUUAAGCAGAACUUAAAAUGACACUGACAAGAUUACCUGACAAGCUCAACUGAACCCCCAAAGUUUCAAUAGGUCAGGUACCCUUGUCCACUGAAUUAUAGGUGGUAAUUUCUAAUAAGUUUCACUUUAGUUUUCUGCUACAGGUGUUAGUACUUGCAUCUCAAGUUGCAAAUACAAUUACUGUAGUGCCACUUUAAAGUAAUAGUAGUUGGUAUUUUAAAACUCCAUGCAACAGUAUUUGUAAUCUGGCCUUUCAGGAUUAGGCGCAUGGUUAAGUGUUGAAUGUUCUCUUAUAACACUGAGUUGUUGAGUUCU